AUCAACUUUCGAUGGUAGGAUAGAGGCCUACCAUGGUGGUAACGGGUAACGGGGUGUUAGGGCACGACACCGGAGAGGGAGCCUGAGAAACGGCUACCACAUCCAAGGAUGGCAGCAGGCGCGCAAAUUACCCAAUCCCGACACGGGGAGGUAGUGACAAUAAAUAACAAUACGGGGUUCUUUUGGAUUUCGUAAUUGGAAUGAGUACAAUUUAAAUCUCUUAACGAGGAACAAUUGGAGGGCAAGUCUGGUGCCAGCAGCCGCGGUAAUUCCAGCUCCAAUAGCGUAUAUUAAAGUUGUUGCAGUUAAAAAGCUCGUAGUUGAAUUUCGGGGUUAGUAGGCUGGUCAUGCCACAGGUAUGCACUGGUCUUACUGAUUCCUCCUUCCUGAUGAACCGUAAUGCCAUUAAUUUGGUGUUGCGGGGAGUCUGGACUGUUACUUUGAAAAAAUUAGAGUGUUUAAAGCAGGCUAACGCUUGAAUACAUUAGCAUGGAAUAACGAAAUAGGACGUUCGAUCUUAUUUUGUUGGUUUCUAGGAUUGACGUAAUGAUUAAUAGGGAUAGUUGGGGGCAUUAGUAUUCAAUUGUCAGAGGUGAAACUCUUGGAUUUAUUGAAGACUAACUACUGCGAAAGCAUUUGCCAAGGAUGUUUUCAUUAAUCAAGAACGAAAGUUAGGGGAUCGAAGACGAUCAGAUACCGUCGUAGUCUUAACCAUAAACUAUGCCGACUAGGGAUCGGAUGAUGUUAAUUUUAUAAUGACUCAUUCGGCGCCUUACGGGAAACCAAAGUGUUUGGGUUC
rnacentral:rRNA from 1 species